UUCCUGUUUUCCAUAGGUAACUGGUUGAAGGAAAUAGGAAUAUAUAUAUACUUAUGUUGUUGUUUUUCUCUUUAUCAUAUAUAUCCUGGUGAGAUGCUCCUGCUGUUUGAUCGAUCGGAUCGCCCAGUCACGUGCAGAUAAUCACAUCCUAAUCGCAGCUCCCAGAUACACCACGGAUCAACCUAUGUCUUUGAUGGAAAGGAUGUCCAACUAAACGUUCAUCGCCACGCCACACCUUACCACAUCAGGACCUGCCUCAGAGUCAACUCCACAAAGAAUCGAACCGAAGGAUGGAGCAUCAUCAUGGAGGCAAUAACACCCAAGGAGCACCACAAUCGACGAGGGCAAGCUGGGGAAACCGAAGAUUCAGCAAGAGACUCAAAGAACACAGGGG